CUGGCGAGGAUUUUGAGAACGGAGUGUAGCACGCGAGGGGAUCUCGAUUCAGAAAGCCGUGUUUAUGAAAACAUCUCCGGAGACAAUUACGCCAGUGCCGCUUGAUAGGACAGCGGAGCCACCCGCCUUUCAUCUCCUCUAAGACGACCAGUAUCGUCUAAAGAUACAUGUUUCACAUUGUUUUCAUGUUUCACUGGACUUUAUUAAGGGAAUGAGCAGAGAUAAAACAAGGAUUGGAAGAUUCUGUGGUUUUGGUGAUGGACUUCCCGGUGGCCGAUAACGGAGAAACUUCACAUUGAUUGGCGCAGCACGCCAGAGGACGUCGCGACAAUUUCGUCUCCGCAAAUUUUUGAGACAUCCCUGACACAAACAUUACCGUACAGUAUACGCCUGUCGAGGAAUAUUUGCAUCUUUUUGCUCAUAUUGUUUUUCUAUCGUUUUUGACUUUAUAUAUAUAUUUUGAGGGUGAGACGGAGACUGUAUGUGACAAUUGGGAUAACUGGAGUGUAGAUUGGCACCAACGCCAGGAUUGUCCCAAAACGUCGGUCAAGAGAGUCAAGGACCGACGGCCAGUCAUUGUCAUGGCGAAAUUAAAGCCCACCCUUGUGAUCGCAGCGUUGAUACUCUGCUUAGCGAUGGCCGCUUACGCAAAGAAGAACAGAAAAAAUAAAUAUUCAGUCCAUCGUCUUUACGACCAUUGCGGAACAAUCUGUUUGCAACUCUACUUCAGGUGUCGCAGUGGACAGUGUAAAAAUCUUUCAGAGGACCGGUGUACGUCGAAAUGUUACAAGAAAUUCAAAAGAUGUCCUAAAAAACUUUGCAAGCAGGGCAAAAAUAAGUUGAGUAAUAAGCUGAAGUCGCGGUCCACGUCGCGAAAACGCGGGAAGAAAUCGAAAAAGAAGUCAAACAAGAAAUCAUUGAACAAUGCCCAUGGAGCGGGAGGUGGCACGAAGGAGUAAAACUUCGGAGAAGACUCGGUCUUCGAUUAGGAGAUGCAGGACUAAGUCUUCAAGCUUUGGCUUCGAGAUAUUUAGAUGACAUUGAUUGAUUGAAGUAGAGAAGUCGAAUGAUGGGUAACCUGCGAAGGAAAGGCUAUCGCGGAAUUUUUUCUCGACGGUUUAUUAUAUAACGACGCAACGACAAUCGUUCCAAGGAGGACAGAAUGGUGCAAUGAGGAUGCAAUGUACUACACCAUUAUAUAUUUCGAAUGCAUUAACUGCACAACUGAUGUUCCGGACUGUAAAUACAAUAAUUUCUUAAUGUUUUACAAUAUCAUAUUGUCAGAAUGACUCUUUUUAUGCUUUGAAAAUGCUCUAGAGUAAAUUGCUUUAUUGUCUUAGAAUGACAAAAAAGCUGCCUUUAAGUCAGGUCAAGUCAAGUCCUCAAGUUGUGGCUAGUUGGCCAUAUAUCUGGGCUGACGGACAAAAUCUGGCGGAUUUGUGACCUUUCUUGUAAAACGAUUGAAUGCUGUAGUCGGGGUAAAGGCCGGGAAGUAACUUAGUUCGAACAGAUGUCCUAGAGAGGCGAAAUCGUCUUCUUUUCAUCGCAUUGUCGCCAUGGGCCAAGACGCUGGAGGACUGGUGGCUAUAGUUGGGAACGCGCGGUGUUUUACUGAUGAUGUCUUUUAAAUCUAAAAUACCUGACCCGUUAGAAUAAUUUGAAUGGUAUCCCCAAUGGCCAUGGUUUUUAUGAGAUGAAAGAGACCGACACGGCAGCCAAGGGCAGGAUUCAGCUUCGAGACAAUUUUGCCAUGGGCGGGAACAUACGUGAUCGUGUUCGGCCAAAUAUUCCACCGAGUAAGGAUGCUGGAUAUCAUCAGAAUUAUUUGAACAUUCAGCACACUUGUUUAUGACAAUGGCCAAGGUUCGAGGUUUUACGGUAAAUGCUGAUGUUAUUGAGUGUGGGGCCUAUACCCAAUGGGUCUUGCACGAUCAAAGACACCGACGGCCAAGGGCCCGUCGCAACUCCUCCGGCUUAUUGUGACUAUUUUGCAACGGACAUUGGGACAAUAAUACGUGAUCAUUUCUUGGAGUCAAUAUGUGGGAAGUAAUGAGAAUUAUUUUAAGCAGUUCGUCGAAUCCGUUGAGGCGGUCCCCGUGGUCGUUGGUGACAGUCGAAAUGGCGGUGAUGCUGCAUGUGGGAUUUGAGAUGAAAGUAUCUAUUAGUAUUGUAUCAUGCAUGAUUGGGAUACGAUGGGAAAGCUCGGACGGUCAGUUUAUCAAACUUUACGAGAGGUUAUACGCCGGGUGGGUUUUUGCUUUUCUCCUACUAUAUUUUUCGGGAGGCACGCCAGGGCGUAUGCAUAUGUUAGUGAUAGAAAAAAAACUAAUUUAUGUGAAA